rnacentral:rRNA from 1 species
GAUGAACGCUGGCGGCGUGCCUAAUACAUGCAAGUCGAGCGAACGGACGAGAAGCUUGCUUCUCUGAUGUUAGCGGCGGACGGGUGAGUAACACGUGGAUAACCUACCUAUAAGACUGGGAUAACUUCGGGAAACCGGAGCUAAUACCGGAUAAUAUUUUGAACCGCAUGGUUCAAAAGUGAAAGACGGUCUUGCUGUCACUUAUAGAUGGAUCCGCGCUGCAUUAGCUAGUUGGUAAGGUAACGGCUUACCAAGGCAACGAUGCAUAGCCGACCUGAGAGGGUGAUCGGCGACACUGGAACUGAGACACGGUCCAGACUCCUACGGGAGGCAGCAGUAGGGAAUCUUCUGCAAUGGGCGAAAGCCUGACGGAGCAACGCCGCGUGAGUGAUGAAGGUCUUCGGAUCGUAAAACUCUGUUAUUAGGGAAGAACAUAUGUGUAAGUAACUGUGCACAUCUUGACGGUACCUAAUCAGAAAGCCACGGCUAACUACGUG